rnacentral:snoRNA from 1 species
AAGCAAUGAUGAAUUCGCUUGUGAUGGUGGGUCCAUCGCUACCCGAACUAUGGGAUGUAAAUAAGCGUAUUUGAGCUC